rnacentral:rRNA from 1 species
AGAGUUUGAUCAUGGCUCAGAUUGAACGCUGGCGGAAUGCUUUACACAUGCAAGUCGAACGGCAGCACGGACUUCGGUCUGGUGGCGAGUGGCGAACGGGUGAGUAACAUAUCGGAACGUAUCCAAUAAUGGGGGAUAACUAAUCGAAAGGUUGGCUAAUACCGCAUACGCCCUACGGGGGAAAGCUAGGGACCUUCGGGCCUGGCGUUAAUGGAGCGGCCGAUAUCUGAUUAGCUAGUUGGUGGGGUAAAGGCCCACCAAGGCGACGAUCAGUAGCUGGUCUGAGAGGACGACCAGCCACACUGGAACUGAGACACGGUCCAGACUCCUACGGGAGGCAGCAGUGGGGAAUUUUGGACAAUGGGCGCAAGCCUGAUCCAGCCAUUCCGCGUGAGUGAAGAAGGCCUUCGGGUUGUAAAGCUCUUUCGCAAGGGAAGAAAACUUAGGCUCUAACAUAGCCUGAGGUUGACGGUACCUUGAUAAGAAGCACCGGCUAACUACGUGCCAGCAGCCGCGGUAAUACGUAGGGUGCGAGCGUUAAUCGGAAUUACUGGGCGUAAAGCGUGCGCAGGCGGUUUUGUAAGUCAGAUGUGAAAUCCCCGAGCUCAACUUGGGAACUGCGUUUGAAACUACAAGACUAGAAUAUGUCAGAGGGGGGUAGAAUUCCACGUGUAGCAGUGAAAUGCGUAGAGAUGUGGAG